rnacentral:rRNA from 1 species
GACGAACGUUGGCGGCGUGCUUAACACAUGCAAGUCGAACGGAAAGGCCCUGCUUUUGUGGGGUGCUCGAGUGGCGAACGGGUGAGUAACACGUGAGUAACCUGCCCUUGACUUUGGGAUAACUUCAGGGAACUGGGGCUAAUACCGGAUAGGAGCUCCUGCUGCAUGGUGGGGGUUGGAAAGUUUCGGCGGUUGGGGAUGGACUCGCGGCUUAUCAGCUUGUUGGUGGGGUAGUGGCUUACCAAGGCUUUGACGGGUAGCCGGCCUGAGAGGGUGACCGGCCACAUUGGGACUGAGAUACGGCCCAGACUCCUACGGGAGGCAGCAGUGGGGAAUAUUGCACAAUGGGCGGAAGCCUGAUGCAGCAACGCCGCGUGCGGGAUGACGGCCUUCGGGUUGUAAACCGCUUUCGCCUGUGACGAAGCGUGAGUGACGGUAAUGGGUAAAGAAGCACCGGCUAACUACGUGCCAGCAGCCGCGGUGAUACGUAGGGUGCGAGCGUUGUCCGGAUUUAUUGGGCGUAAAGGGCUCGUAGGUGGUUGAUCGCGUCGGAAGUGUAAUCUUGGGGCUUAACCCUGAGCGUGCUUUCGAUACGGGUUGACUUGAGGAAGGUAGGGGAGAAUGGAAUUCCUGGUGGAGCGGUGGAAUGCGCAGAUAUCAGGAGGAACACCAGUGGCGAAGGCGGUUCUCUGGGCCUUUCCUGACGCUGAGGAGCGAAAGCGUGGGGAGCGAACAGGCUUAGAUACCCUGGUAGUCCACGCUGUAAACGGUGGGUACUAGGUGUGGGGUCCAUUCCACGGGUCCCGUGCCGUAGCUAACGCUUUAAGUACCCCGCCUGGGGAGUACGGCCGCAAGGCUAAAACUCAAAGGAAUUGACGGGGCCCCGCACAAGCGGCGGAGCAUGCGGAUUAAUUCGAUGCAACGCGUAGAACCUUACCUGGGUUUGACAUGGAUCGGGAGUGCUCAGAGAUGGGUGUGCCUCUUUUGGGGUCGGUUCACAGGUGGUGCAUGGCUGUCGUCAGCUCGUGUCGUGAGAUGUUGGGUUAAGUCCCGCAACGAGCGCAACCCUUGUUCACUGUUGCCAGCACGUUAUGGUGGGGACUCAGUGGAGACCGCCGGGGUCAACUCGGAGGAAGGUGGGGAUGACGUCAAGUCAUCAUGCCCCUUAUGUCCAGGGCUUCACGCAUGCUACAAUGGCUGGUACAGAGAGUGGCGAGCCUGUGAGGGUGAGCGAAUCUCGGAAAGCCGGUCUCAGUUCGGAUUGGGGUCUGCAACUCGACCUCAUGAAGUCGGAGUCGCUAGUAAUCGCAGAUCAGCAACGCUGCGGUGAAUACGUUCCCGGG